ensembl:snoRNA LOC120102648 small nucleolar RNA SNORA48
CACUCCUAGCAAUGGGCAAAGAGACACCUUGUUGGCGGUGGUGUUCUUAUAUCAGUCAGGGGCAGAAUAGAUGGCAGUUCUUUGUUCACACUAGCCUGACGCCUGGCUUGGUGGCCAAAGCUGUUUUAUGCCUAGGACAUAUAA